ensembl:misc_RNA
AGGAAUUUGCCCCCCAAACAGAUUGCCCUGAUGUCCAACCCGAAGAAGUGAAACUGCUGCUGGGUCUGGAGAGGUGAAGCCCCGUGGCCAGCUUCUGUCACCGCCAUCUGCCAUUGCUUUUUGUUCCCUUGCUUUUGGUUUUGCAAGAAGCAUGGCCUCUGUCUCUGUCUGAUCUGC